AUAGACCAGUAAGAGGCGUCCACCUAGGACACUGUGAGGAAACAAGGCUUUUAUUCCUGAGCCUGGUGAGUCAAGACAAACUAUAAUAAUGAUAAUGACACAGAUCAACAGCAAUUUCAAAAGACCCCCAUGGACUGCAGCACUCCAGGCUUCAAGAUCCAUCAAAAUUCCCGGAACUUACUCAAACUCAUGUCCAUCGAGUCAGUGAUGCCAUCCAAACAUCUCAUCCUCUGUCACCCCCUUCUCCUCCUUCCCUCAUCUUUCCCAGCAUCAGAGUCUUUUCAAAUGAGUCAGCUCUUCACAUCAAGUGGCCAAAAUAUUGGAGUUUCAGCUUCAACAUCAGUUCUUCCAAUGAAUAUUCAAGACAUGUUUCCUUUAGGAUUGACUGGGUUGAUCUCUUUGCAGUCCAAGGGAUUCUCAAGAGUCUUCUCCAACACCACAGUUCAAAAGCAUCAAUUCUUCUGCAUUUAGCUUUCUUUAUAGUCUAAAUCUCACAUCCAUACAUGACUACUGGAAAAACCAUAGCCUUGACUAGAUGA